GUUAUUGUUUAUUUGAUACAGCAAAUGGAUAACUGUAGAAAAACUAGAGCUAAUACAUGCUUUAACCGCAAGGUUGUAUUUAUUAGAUAUUCCAGAUUGGUGAAUCAUAAUAACUUCGCAAAUCUCGUCUAUGAUGAGAUAAAUCAUCCAAGUUUCUGCCCUAUCAUGCUUUCGAUGGUAGUGUAUUGGACUACCAUGGCUCUCACGGGUAACAGGGAAUUAGGGUUCGAUUCUGGAGAAGGAGCCUGAGAAACGGCUACUACAUCUACGGAAGGCAGCAGGCGCGUAAAUUACCCAAUCCUGACUCAGGGAGGUGGUGACAAGAUAUAACAACGCGAUUAAAAUCGCGAUUGUAGUGAGGGUAUUCUAAACAGAACCUAUAGUACGAUUAGAGGGCAAGUCUGGUGCCAGCAGCCGCGGUAAUUCCAGCUCUAAUAGCGUAUAUUAAAGUUGCUGCAGUUAAAAAGCUCGUAGUUGGAUUUCAAGGACUGUAAACCCUUCCAGGGAAUACAUCCUACUAGUCUUUGACUGUUACUGUGAGAAAAUUAGAGUGUUUCAAGCAGGCUUUCGCAAGAAUAC
rnacentral:rRNA from 1 species